ACCGUUCUUGCUCUUCUUGCUCUGUUCGUCAUCUCCUCCGGGAAUUCCAGGGAUCCCCAGGAAGGUGUUGUGGGAGUUUCCGUACCAGACCAGCAGCUCCUGGUCCGGAGGGAUGGUCUGUGGAGAAACACCUGGAGGUUUGUAGUCUGGGAGUGGAGAUGAGGGAGGCGGUUCCUGUCUGUGCCAGCAGAGGGCGACACAGACCGGGUCCUCCAGCUGCUCGUCCUCCCACCACCAGACGAGGAUCAGUCCAACGUUUCAAACGCUUCUCCUUGUCUCUUUGAUUCUUUUAUCUUUUAUCACCGGAGGUGCUUUUCACCUAUUUUUAUUCACGUUCAGUGAAUGCGUCUUGUUGCCCAAAGGUUGACUACAUCCUGUAUUUAAUUAAUUUGCAGCUUGUAACCUGAGUUUUAAGAAGUACUCUAUAAAUACUGACAGAUGGAUAAACUUUAUUGUCAUUCAAGCUAUACACCAAACAUUGCAUUAUUAAUAUUCCAUUAUUAAAUAAAAAGAGAGCAUCUGGAUCAACCUCUUACCUCUAAGGUCA